GACGAACGCUGGCGGCGUGCUUAACACAUGCAAGUCGAACGGAAAGGCCCUGCUUUUGUGGGGUGCUCGAGUGGCGAACGGGUGAGUAACACGUGAGUAACCUGCCCUUGACUUUGGGAUAACUUCAGGAAACUGGGGCUAAUACCGGAUAGGAGCUCCUGCUGCAUGGUGGGGGUUGGAAAGUUUCGGCGGUUGGGGAUGGACCCGCGGCUUAUCAGCUUGUUGGUGGGGUAGUGGCUUACCAAGGCUUUGACGGGUAGCCGGCCUGAGAGGGUGACCGGCCACAUUGGGACUGAGAUACGGCCCAGACUCCUACGGGAGGCAGCAGUGGGGAAUAUUGCACAAUGGGCGGAAGCCUGAUGCAGCAACGCCGCGUGCGGGAUGACGGCCUUCGGGUUGUAAACCGCUUUCGCCUGUGACGAAGCGUGAGUGACGGUAAUGGGUAAAGAAGCACCGGCUAACUACGUG
rnacentral:rRNA from 1 species